rnacentral:rRNA from 1 species
UACGGGGGGAGCAAGCGUUGUUCGGAUUUACUGGGCGUAAAGGGCGCGUAGGCGGUCAGCACAAGUCAGUUGUGAAAUCUCCAGGCUUAACUCGGAAAGGUCAACUGAUACUGUGCGACUAGAGUGCGGAAGGGGCAACUGGAAUUCUCGGUGUAGCGGUGAAAUGCGUAGAUAUCGAGAGGAACACCUGCGGCGAAGGCGGGUUGCUGGGCCGACACUGACGCUGAUGCGCGAAAGCCAGGGGAGCGAACGGG